GACGAACGCUGGCGGCGUGCUUAACACAUGCAAGUCGAACGGAAAGGCCCUGCUUUUGUGGGGUGCUCGAGUGGCGAACGGGUGAGUAACACGGGAGUAACCUGCCCUUGACUUUGGGAUAACUUCAGGAAACUGGGGCUAAUACCGGAUAGGAGCUCCUGCUGCAUGGUGGGGGUUGGAAAGUUUCGGCGGUUGGGGAUGGACUCGCGGCUUAUCAGCUUGUUGGUGGGGGAGUGGCUUACCAAGGCUUUGACGGGUAGCCGGCCUGAGAGGGUGACCGGCCACAUUGGGACUGAGAUACGGCCCAGACUCCUACGGGAGGCAGCAGUGGGGAAUAUUGCACAAUGGGCGGAAGCCUGAUGCAGCAACGCCGCGUGCGGGAUGACGGCCUUCGGGUUGUAAACCGCUUUCGCCUGUGACGAAGCGUGAGUGACGGUAAUGGGUAAAGAAGCACCGGCUAACUACGUG
rnacentral:rRNA from 1 species